rnacentral:rRNA from 1 species
GGCCAGACUCCUACGGGAGGCAGCAGUGGGGAAUAUUGGGCAAUGGAGGAAACUCUUACCCAGCAAUGCCGCGUGAAUGAAGAAGGUCUUCGGAUUGUAAAGUUCUUUAAUUGGGGACGAAAAAAAUGACGGUACCCAAGGAAUAAGCCCCGGCUAACUACGUGCCAGCAGCCGCGGUAAUACGUAGGGGGCGAGCGUUGUCCGGAAUCACUGGGCGUAAAGGGCGCGUAGGCGGUAAUAUAAGUCAGAUGUGAAAGGUGGGGGCUCAACCCCUAGAGUGCAACUGAUACUGUAUAACUUGAGUGUGAGAGAGGGAAGCGGAAUUCCUAGUGUAGCGGUGAAAUGCGUAGAUAUUAGGAGGAACACCAGUGGCGAAGGCGGCUUUCUGGCUCAUAACUGACGCUGAGGCGCGAAAGCGUGGGGAGCAAACAGGAUUAGAUACCCUCGUAAA